GAUGAAGAACGUAGCGAAAUGCGAUACGUAAUGUGAAUUGCAGAAUUCAGUGAAUCAUCGAGACUUUGAACGCACAUUGCGCCCCCUGGUAUUCCGGGGGGCAUGCCUGUCCGAGCGUCAUUGCUGCCCUCAAGCACGGCUUGUGUGUUGGGCCUCCGUCCUCCUCCCGGGGGACGGGCCCGAAAGGCAGCGGCGGCACCGCGUCCGGUCCUCGAGCGUAUGGGGCUUCGUCACCCGCUCUUGUAGGCCCGGCCGGCGCUUGCCGACACAUCAAUCUUUUUUCCAGGUUGACCUCGGAUCAGGUAGGGAUACCCGCUGAACUUAAGCAUAUCAAUAGCGGAGGA
rnacentral:misc_RNA from 1 species